CGCAGCUCUGUCUUUUGUUAUCUCGCAGCGCGCAGGCGGGCACCGCAGACGAAGGGAAGAGCAGCAGAGCAGCAGAGACUCUCCGGCCGCUCACAAGCAUGGAUGUGUCGUCCAGCUGCGAAUGAAGGACCAGACAGGACAUUAAAGGUGACCCCUGUAAUUUCUGCUGUACUCCUCUUUUAUGAAAUUUCAUGCAGUACUUCUUGCACUUUCUUUGGUUUUGGUUUAAUCGUAAAACUAACAUUUUCUUUCAGAUCUCCACCUAACCUCAAGCCAUGGAGGAACACCAGGAGAUGGCCAGCUUGGUCUCCUUGUUCCCCCUUUCAGCGCUGAUCCCUAUCACCAUCAUCUGCAUUCUGCUCUUCUGUGUUGGUGUCUGCGGGAACACCAUGACGAUUCUGAUCAUUCGGAGGUACAAGGACAUGAAGACCACCACCAACCUCUACCUGUCGAGCAUGGCCGUCUCUGACCUGAUCAUUCUGCUCUGCCUCCCCUUUGACCUCUACCGUCUCUGGAAGUAUUACCCCUGGAUUUUCGGCGAGGUUAUCUGUCGACUCUUCCAUUACAUUAAUGAGGGGUGCACGUAUGCCACCAUCCUGCACAUCACGGCCCUGAGCAUCGAGAGGUACCUGGCCAUUUGCUUUCCUCUUAAGGCCAAAGUAUUUGUAACCCGGCGGCGAGUGAAGUACGCCAUAGUACUGCUGUGGACCUUGGCGCUCUCCUCUGCUGCUCCCAUGCUUUUCCUUUUCGGAGUUCAGUAUGAAAAUAGCACUCACCCAGUUGCUGAACACAGAGCGUGCAAGUACACUGCGCACGCCCUCAGCUCCGGGCUCCUCGACACCAUGAUUUGGAUGUCUACUCUCUACUUCAUCAUCCCCAUGACCUGCUUAACUUUCUUGUAUGGAUCCAUAGGUUGGAAACUGUGGAGGAGCAAGACUCAGGUUCAGGGUCCGCAUGCUGCUAACCGGGAAAGAUACCACAAGCAAACAGUCAAAAUCCUGGCUGUCGUCGUCUUGGCCUUUGCCAUCUGCUGGCUGCCCUUCCACAUUGGCAGAUACCUCUUCAUGCACUUUCAGACCUACUACGAGAUGACACUGAGCCAGUAUUUCAACAUGGUGUCAAUGCACCUCUUCUACCUGAGUGCUUCUAUCAACCCCGUCCUUUACAACCUCAUGUCCAAGAAGUACAGAGCGGCCGCCUACCGGCUCCUCCUGCACAAGAAGUCCAGCAAGAGGGCUUUGUUUGGCACCCGGGAAGAUCCUGAGGGUUUCACAGAGACCAGCACAGGGAUAUGAAGAAAAAAAUCAAUAAUAAAGUUAAAAUUCUGUGAACACUUGUAAGAUAAAAAAGGACAAAAAAGCUUUUUCUUAGACUUUGUGACUUUUUGACUUCUUUUUCUUAUUGUUACUGACAUACUACUGAAUUUGAAACAUGAAGAUCUAGCGGAAGGAGGACCUCAGGAAAUGGGAUGUGCUGCUGCAGGAACAAGCCAUAUGUAUAUCACUCAGGUCAUGACUCUUGAGGUCCAACAGAAGAACCUGAAUUACAAUCACAAGUCCAAGAAGAACUGCUCCUGCUGGUUACAGCUCUCUGAAGAGGCACACAAUGGCACACACACUCAAAGAGGAUCCUCGGUUUUGUAGUGAGCCACCAUAGGUGCAAAAACUCAAUCCUGAGAGGCCAUUCUGGUCAACUGGGCAAAGACAGCCAGAUCUGAAACUGAACCUGCAACAGUGUACCUCUUGAGACCUUAAUCUUUGCUGGCUAUAACUAAAAUGAUAAUUAAAAUUACUUCAUUAAGGCUGGAAUUUAUAAAAAAAAAUGUUCCUGUGUGUUCUCGGGAUUUACUGA